rnacentral:lncRNA from 1 species
UUACAUUAAGAGAUUAAAAGAGAGGCACGACAUGCAAGUCGUAUUUUAAAAUCCCAAAAUAAAAUAAAGGAAAACUAAGGCCACAACCGAUCACCACAAGACAAUAAUAAUAAACACAUUAUUAUUAUUAAUUUAAAUUCUGUUAAUUAAUUAAAAUCAAGUUAAAUUUCAGCGACCAAUCACAUUACGCAGAGUUAGCCGGGGGUUCUCACAUUUGAAAUCGACGUCGUUUUUCGCAUCAACACUUAAUACUUUAAAGCACAACUCUUGCGCAGUCA